rnacentral:rRNA from 1 species
AGUGAACGCUGGCGGUAGGCCUAACACAUGCAAGUCGAACGGCAGCACAGUAAGAGCUUGCUCUUACGGGUGGCGAGUGGCGGACGGGUGAGGAAUACAUCGGAAUCUACUUUUUCGUGGGGGAUAACGUAGGGAAACUUACGCUAAUACCGCAUACGACCUACGGGUGAAAGCAGGGGAUCUUCGGACCUUUCGCGAUUGAAUGAGCCGAUGUCGGAUUAGCUUGUUGGGAAGGUAAAGGCCCACCAAGGCAACGAUCCGUAGCUGGCCUGACAGGAUGAUCGGCCACACUGGAACUGAGACACGGUCCAGACUCCUACGGGAGGCAGCAGUAGGGAAUCUUCCGCAAUGGGCGAAAGCCUGACGGAGCAACGCCGCGUGAGGGAUGAAGGUCUUCGGAUCGUAAAACUCUGUUAUGAGGGAAGAACAAAUGUGUAAGUAACUAUGCACGUCUGGACGGUACCUAAUCAGAAAGCCACGGCGAACUACGGG